rnacentral:rRNA from 1 species
UACGUAGGGGGCUAGCGUUGUUCGGAUUUAUUGGGCGUAAAGAGUGUGUAGGCGGCCAGGUAGGUCUGCUGUGAAAACUCGAGGCUCAACCUCGAGACGUCGGCGGAAACCAUCUGGCUAGAGUCCGGAAGAGGAGAGUGGAAUUCCUGGUGUAGCGGUGAAAUGCGCAGAUAUCAGGAAGAACACCCGUGGCGAAGGCGGCUCUCUGGGACGGUACUGACGCUGAGACGCGAAAGCGUGGGGAGCGAACAGG